rnacentral:rRNA from 1 species
UACGGAGGGUGCGAGCGUUGUCCGGAAUCACUGGGCGUAAAGCGUGCGCAGGCGGUUAUGUAAGACAGAUGUGAAAUCCCCGGGCUCAACCUGGGAACUGCAUUUGUGACUGCAUAGCUAGAGGUACGGUAGAGGGGGAUGGAAUUCCGCGUGUAGCAGUGAAAUGCGUAGAUAUGCGGAGGAACACCGAUGGCGAAGGCAAUCCCCUGGACCUGUACUGACGCUCAUGCACGAAAGGCGUGGGGAGCAAACAGG